rnacentral:rRNA from 1 species
UUGAGCGCUGAAGGUUGGUACUUGUACCGACUGGAUGAGCAGCGAACGGGUGAGUAACGCGUGGGGAAUCUGCCUUUGAGCGGGGGACAACAUUUGGAAACGAAUGCUAAUACCGCAUAACAACUUUAAACACAAGUUUUAAGUUUGAAAGAUGCAAUUGCAUCACUCAAAGAUGAUCCCGCGUUGUAUUAGCUAGUUGGUGAGGUAAAGGCUCACCAAGGCGAUGAUACAUAGCCGACCUGAGAGGGUGAUCGGCCACAUUGGGACUGAGACACGGCCCAAACUCCUACGGGAGGCAGCAGUAGGGAAUCUUCGGCAAUGGACGAAAGUCUGACCGAGCAACGCCGCGUGAGUGAAGAAGGUUUUCGGAUCGUAAAACUCUGUUGGUAGAGAAGAACGUUGGUGAGAGUGGAAAGCUCAUCAAGUGACGGUAACUACCCAGAAAGGGACGGCUAACUACGUGCCAGCAGCCGCGGUAAUACGUAGGUCCCGAGCGUUGUCCGGAUUUAUUGGGCGUAAAGCGAGCGCAGGUGGUUUAUUAAGUCUGGUGUAAAAGGCAGUGGCUCAACCAUUGUAUGCAUUGGAAACUGGUAGACUUGAGUGCAGGAGAGGAGAGUGGAAUUCCAUGUGUA